GUCUGCCAAAAAAGGAGAUGACGGUUCAUUCUUCUUUUGUAAGAAUCACGUGGUUUUUCUGAAAAAAAACAAAACAAAACCGGUGCUUACAUUUGUUGCCUUAUCUUGAAUGAGGUUAUGUGGGGGGGAAAUAAAGACAUUGAUGAGGAAUCGCUGUUUCCAAAUACGAUGGAGUUUCACAGUCUGAAAAUGUCUCUUCCUCUCAUAGGUGUGCCCGUGUGGAUGAGUCGGUGCGGUGUGUCUGACUUGCUCCAGAAUAAGCCUCCAUGGGUUCCCAUGGCAGUGGACACGUUUGGUAAAGUUGUAAGGUACUGGUGACAGAGAAGCACCCGGGAGCACAUCCUUCUGCUGCCACGCUCAGUCCAUCACCACGGACACUUCUCUUCCCUUCAGCUCCGUGGUUGGGACAGCAGCACCCGGGAGUACAUCCUUCCGCUGCCACGCUCAGUCCAUCACCACGGACACUUCUCUUGCCUUCAGCUCCGUGUCACUUAAAAGCUAUAGAGCAUGUCCUCAUUCAUUUGGUCAAUACCAAACAUUCUGAAAUGAAAUACAGUCACCCAUGUAGCUGUGUAGGCAUAAUAUAGAGGAUACUGCACAUAGUUUCCUCCAGCCAGGGGCACUAUAGAUUUUUAUAUAACUCUGGAAAGGAAGGAAGAACCUUGACUACAGAGAAUGAAAUAGUGCAAAUGGGUAAGGUGGGCUGUGGAGUGAUUUUGGCAGGAAGUGAUCCUGCAAGUCACAAAGAUUUCAUGUGCUACCUAUCUAUCAUCUAACAUUUAUCUAUCACCAAUUAAUCUAUCAUCAAUCCAUCAUUAACCUGUCACCUAUCAAUCAUCUACAUCUAUCAUCAGUCUACCAUCAAUUAAAGUAUCAACCAAUCACCCAUCUGUCAUCAAUCAAUCAUCUAAUUAUCCUGAUCUCCCUAUCAAUCAUUUAUCACAUAUCCUUAGAAGUGUAUAUAUAUAUAUAUACAUAUAUAUAUAUAUAUAUACACACAUACAUAUAUAUAUCUUUUUCUUAAAUAAACAUUUAUUGAGUGGCUACCU
rnacentral:lncRNA from 1 species